rnacentral:rRNA from 1 species
GAGGGCGGGGGAUAACCACUGGAAACGGUGGCUAAUACCGCAUAAUGUCGCAAGACCAAAGUGGGGGACCUGAAAGGGCCUCACGCCCGUGGAUGAACCCAGAUGGGAUUAGCUGGUAGGUGGGGUAAUGGCUCACCUAGGCGACGAUCCCUAGCUGGUCUGAGAGGAUGACCAGCCACACUGGGACUGAGACACGGCCCAGACUCCUACGGGAGGCAGCAGUGGGGAAUAUUGCACAAUGGGCGCAAGCCUGAUGCAGCCAUGCCGCGUGUAUGAAGAAGGCCUUCGGGUUGUAAAGUACUUUCAGCGGGGAAGGAAGGGGUUGAUUUGAACAGGGUCAAUUCUUGACGUUACCC